UAUUAUUGGGGGUGCGACGCCGCUAAUGUGCGUAGCUGAGAUUAUACCCUUUGAACCUGAACCGGUUAGUACCGGCGUAGUGAAA
rnacentral:ncRNA from 1 species